rnacentral:lncRNA from 1 species
AUUUCUUGGAAGAAUUCCAGAAAAGGAAUUACAUUUUUUUCCCAAGAAUAGUUUUGUUCCUGUCAUGGUGGGUGGAGUAAUGUUGAGACUAUUUAUCUUGCAGGUGAAAAUGGUAGAAGAGGUAGAAGCAGUACAGUGUAUCCUCUUGGAGAAGAAAGGAGAUUUCUUAAGAAGACCAUUGCAUGGAACCUCCAAGGUAGACCCAGAACCCCACUUCGGCUCUGCACUGAACACUGAACAGAGGCAGUAUGUGAUUAUAGAGGGAUGGUGA